UAUAGGAUAAGCAUAUUUGUAGAAGAGAAGAGAAAAGAAAAAGAAAUGGAAAAAGGAAAUAACAUAAAAAUGUAGCAGGAGUGAUUGCUUGGACCAUCUGACGAUGUUAGGGAUAGCCCUUGCUUUUUUUCCGUAUGUAUUUUCCCUCCCGGUAGACCACCGCCACACAACACAGAACAAUAGGGAGAGAGGAGACCCGCUGAUUGAUGGAUAAAUCUAUGUACUAUGGUCUUUGUGGGGCUGCAGCACAUAGUCCUUUGUGGGGCUGCAGCACAUGGUCCUUGUGGCUGUUAGGAUAGAAUCCUUGACCAUCAAGGACUGGCGGUUAGGAUAGCAUCUUGGACUAGCAUCUUAGCAGCAUCUUAGACUAGCAUCUUAGCAUAUGCUUGGCUGGCUAGCAGCCUAUAAAUAUGUAUCCCCAACCCCUCAGGUUGGCAUGGCAUUGUGUGAGAAAUAAACCAACGAAAAUUGUCCCAACUCUCCUAGUGUCAUCCACAACUAUCAAUGCUCAGGUUGAAAGGUCUAACAAGUGGUAUCAGAGCCAGGUUAUCUUGUACCCUGAGCAUUUCCUGCUCACCUCUCUCACCGGGAGCUGAGCAGCCUAAGCC
rnacentral:lncRNA from 1 species